rnacentral:sRNA from 1 species
GAUCCUUAUGGCAGCAUGAGGAAAGCUCCAGGGAGUGAUCCCUUCAUGUCCUCAGGGCAGGGCCCCAAUGGCGGGAUGGGUGACCCCUACAGUCGUGCUGCCGGCCCUGGGCUAGGAAAUGUGGCGAUGGGACCACGACAGCAUUAUCCCUAUGGAGGUCCUUAUGACAGAGUGAGGUAAGCAUGACCCCAGCUCCUGUCCACUCCUCCAGCACCCUGAAGCUAUAGUGGGCUCAAUCUGCCUCUCCAAUUUUGUUUAGGACGGAGCCUGGAAUAGGGCCUGAGGGAAACAUGAGCACUGGGGCCCCACAGCCGAAUCUCAUGCCUUCCAACCCAGACUCGGGGAUGUAUUCUCCUAGCCGCUACCCCCCGCAGCAGCAGCAGCAGCAGCAACGACAUGAUUCCUAUGGCAAUCAGUUCUCCACCCAAGGCACCCCUUCUGGCAGCCCCUUCCCCAGCCAGCAGACUACAAUGUAUCAACAGCAGCAGCAGAAUUACAAGCGGCCAAUGGAUGGCACAUAUGGCCCUCCUGCCAAGCGGCACGAAGGGGAGAUGUACAGCGUGCCAUACAGCACUGGGCAGGGGCAGCCUCAGCAGCAGCAGUUGCCCCCAGCCCAGCCCCAGCCUGCCAGCCAGCAACAAGCUGCCCAGCCUUCCCCUCAGCAAGAUGUGUACAACCAGUAUGGCAAUGCCUAUCCUGCCACUGCCACCGCUGCUACUGAGCGCCGACCAGCAGGCGGCCCCCAGAACCAAUUUCCAUUCCAGUUUGGCCGAGACCGUGUCUCUGCACCCCCUGGCACCAAUGCCCAGCAAAACAUGCCGCAAAUGAUGGGCGGCCCCAUACAGGCAUCAGCUGAGGUUGCUCAGCAAGGCACUAUGUGGCAGGGGCGUAAUGACAUGACCUAUAAUUAUGCCAACAGGCAGAGCACGGGCUCUGCCCCCCAGGGCCCCGCCUAUCAUGGCGUGAACCGAACAGAUGAAAUGCUGCACACAGAUCAGAGGGCCAACCACGAAGGCCCGUGGCCUUCCCAUGGCACACGCCAGCCCCCAUAUGGUCCCUCUGCCCCUGUGCCCCCCAUGACAAGGCCCCCUCCAUCUAACUACCAGCCCCCGCCAAGCAUGC